rnacentral:tRNA from 1 species
GGAGAGGUAGUUUAUUAAGAACAUUAUACUGUAAAUAUAAAAGAGAAACCUGUUGUCCUUCUCCU